rnacentral:rRNA from 1 species
GACGGAGGAUGCAAGUGUUAUCCGGAAUCACUGGGCGUAAAGCGUCUGUAGGUGGUCAAAUAAGUCAACUGUUAAAUCUUGAGGCUCAACCUCAAAAUCGCAGUCGAAACUAUUAGACUAGAGUAUAGUAGGGGUAAAGGGAAUUUCCAGUGGAGCGGUGAAAUGCGUAGAUAUUGGAAAGAACACCGAUGGCGAAGGCACUUUACUGGGCUAUUACUAACACUGAGAGACGAAAGAUAGGGUAGCAAAUGGG